CCUACGGGAGGCAGCAGUAGGGAAUAUUGCUCAAUGGGGGAAACCCUGAAGCAGCAACGCCGCGUGGAGGAUGAAGGUUUUCGGAUUGUAAACUCCUUUUGUUAGAGAAGAAAAUGACGGUAUCUAACGAAUAAGCACCGGCUAACUCCGUGCCAGUAGCCGCGGUAAUACGGAGGGUGUAAGCGUUAUUCGGAAUCACUGGGCGUAAAGCGCGCGUAGGCGGGAUAGCAAGUCAGAUGUGAAAUCCUAUGGCUUAACCAUAGAACUGCAUGUGAAACUGUUAUUCUAGAGUAUGGGAGAGGUAGGUGGAAUGCUUGGUGUAGUGGUGAAAUCCGUAGAGAUCAAGAGGAAUACUCAUUGCGAAGGCGACCUGCUAGAACAUAACUGACGCUGAUGCGCGAAAGCGUGGGGAGCAAACAGGAUUAGAUACCCUGGUAGUC
rnacentral:rRNA from 1 species